rnacentral:rRNA from 1 species
AUUGAACGCUGGCGGCAGGCCUAACACAUGCAAGUCGAACGAGCGGCGGACGGGUGAGUAAUGUAUGGGAAACUGCCCGAUAGAGGGGGAUAACUACUGGAAACGGUGGCUAAUACCGCAUACUAUCGGAUGAACCCAUAUGGGAUUAGCUAGUAGGUGGGGUAAAGGCUCACCUAGGCGACGAUCCCUAGCUGGUCUGAGAGGAUGACCAGCCACACUGGGACUGAGACACGGCCCAGACUCCUACGGGAGGCAGCAGUGGGGAAUAUUGGGCAAUGGGCGCAAGUCUGAUGCAGCCACGCCGCGUGAAUGAAGAAGGUUUUAGGGUCGUAAAGUACUGUUGGUAGGGAAGCGUUACCCAACGAGGAAGCACCGGCUAACUACGUGCCAGCAGCCGCGGUAAUUC